UACAGAGGCCCCAAGCGUUACUGAGAAUCACUGGGUUUAAAGGGUGCGUAGGUGGCGCGUUAAGUCCGUUGUGAAAUCCCUUGGCUCAACCAAGGAAAUGCUUCGGAUACUGGCGUGCUUGAGGCCGGUAAGGAUCACUGGAACUGACGGUGGAGCGGUGAAAUGCGUAGAUAUCGUCAGGAACGCCAAUGGUGAAGACAGGUGACUGGGCCGGUACUGACACUGAGGCACGAAAGCGUGGGGAGCGAACGGG
rnacentral:rRNA from 1 species